GGGUUAGUAAGUUGGUCGUGCCUUCAGUACGUACUGACUUUACUGAUUUCUCCUUCUUGACGAACCAUGAUGUCAUUAAUUUGGUGUUGCGGGAAAUCAGAACUGUUAAUUUGAAAAAAUUUUAAGAGUGUUUAAAGCAGACUAACGCUUGAAUACAUUAGCAUAGAAUAAUGAAAUAGGACGUUAAUCCUAUUUUGUUGGUUUCUAGGAUUGACAUAAUGA
rnacentral:rRNA from 1 species